rnacentral:piRNA from 1 species
UGGCAAGGCAGUGCAUUGGUUAUGUGCCCU